GACGGAAGGUGCAAGCGUUGCUCGGAAUCACUGGGCGUAAAGGGCUCGUAGGCGGCCAACUAAGUCAGACGUGAAAUCCCUCGGCUUAACCGGGGAACUGCAUCUGAUACUGGAUGGCUUGAGUUCGGGAGAGGGAUGCGGAAUUCCAGGUGUAGCGGUGAAAUGCGUAGAUAUCUGGAGGAACACCGGUGGCGAAGGCGGCAUCCUGGACCGAAACUGACGCUGAGGCGCGAAAAGCCAGGGGAGCAAACAGG
rnacentral:rRNA from 1 species